CAGCCGAUCCUCAACUAAGCUGCCUCGGCUUUGAUCCACUAUGGUCCAGGCUUCUUGAGCGGCAGAUGAUUCGCACCCAGUAUCUGCCUCGCAAAAAAAACCAUCUUUCUAGAUCGCUCGAAGCCUGCUGAGUCGAAGAUCCGCUGACUCCCUACCCAAGCAAUCUGGUGUCAUGGUCCCGGAUAAACGAACCCCACGCCACCGCCACGUCCAUCCUCUGCGACGCUGUCAUCGAAGUUCGCCAAAGGGUGGAGGCACCCAGGAGACGGAGAUAGUCCUUUUGCUCCCUCCCCCAUAAGGCUCGCCUCGUGACGGAGAGGAGACUCAGAGCACUCCUGUUCCCAUGGCGGCCAUGGAGGAGCUCGGCGGAUCGAAGAAGAGGAAGUGCGACUCCUCUUUUGGCGAAGGGAGGGGAGAAGUCCGAUCCGAAGCACCCCAAGAAGGCUUCAUCCAGGCCCGCGAAGCCCCAGGCAACCGGCUCCAAAAAGCCUCCGAAGGAUCUCGAAGCGAAGUCCAUUAAGGCUUCCGACCGGAGAAAUCGGCCCCUGUUCAGGCGAAAAAGGAGCCCAAGACGAUUCCCAAAGAGCGUCGCUUGGGCUGCUAAGAGUGAAGGGGAAGAAGCUGUUGCUGGAGAAGGCACAGAUAGGCGCACUCAGAGGGUUGAGAUGAAAGCAUCAGUAUCUGAUGAUGAUAAUAGUGAAAUUUGUGGGAAGAGCAGGCAGUUAGCAGUGGGAGGAAAGAAGGAUCCUUCAAUAUGGAGAUGUGUGCCACUAGUGGAGGGUGGUCUUCCAAAGUUAGCAUACAGUUGCUAGCUCUACAACAUUCUCAAUACAAGGGGUACACAAGUGUACUAAGUUUUUAGAAUUCCAUAUCUUCUUUGCUCCUAUCUUGCUCGCAAGUGUACUAGGAUAUCAAAUGUAAGAUGAGUGAAAACUUUGCGGGAGAAUUAUCCUGAGUUGCUGCCAAACGAAGUACAAGAAAAUGUUGUUUUUGAGCGUACAUAACUGAAGUUUUCUCCAUAAUUUCUUUGCUCCUUAUUGCUCCUAAGUGUAUAAAGAUUCAAAUAUCAGAUAAGUGGAAACUUUAUAGGAGACUUAUCCUGAAUGUCUGCCAAAUGAGCCACAGGAGUCAUUUAUCAUUGUUGAAAUGGAGCAGUGCUGCAUUGAAUAGCAAUGGAAAAAAAAAAAAAUACAGUGACAAUUCAAUAUCUGAAACUGGAAUUCUUCGUUCUGUUUGGUCUAUUUUCUGGUCUUGCCUGGUAGACAGGUAGUCAGAAGGAUCGAAGAGGGGAAAAUCUCUUUGGAAAGCUGCAUUGGCUCGUAAGCAGCUCUCAAUCACUCUGCAUUCCUGUUUGAAUCUGUUCUGGACUUCCUUCAGGGCCUGUAGGAUCCUCUUU